GCAGAACGCGAAGAACCUUACCAAGGCUUGACAUCCCCCUGAUCGGUCUAGAGAUAGAUCUUUCCCUUCGGGGACAGGGGUGACAGGUGGUGCAUGGUUGUCGUCAGCUCGUGUCGUGAGAUGUUGGGUUAAGUCCCGCAACGAGCGCAACCCUUAUCUUUAGUUGCCAGCAUUCAGUUGGGCACUCUAGAGAGACUGCCGGUGACAAACCGGAGGAAGGUGGGGAUGACGUCAAAUCAUCAUGCCCCUUAUGUCUUGGGCUACACACGUGCUACAAUGGUUGGUACAAAGGGCAGCAAGCCAGCGAUGGUAAGCAAAAUCCCAGAAAAGCCAAUCUCAGUUCGGAUUGUAGGCUGCAACUCGCCUACAUGAAGUCGGAAUCGCUAAGUAAUCGCAGAUCAGCAUGCUGC
rnacentral:rRNA from 1 species